GUCUGCUGAGGAACAGACUGGCUCUCCAGGAAAAAGCCCAUCAUACUAUGCUAAAAGGGUGACUGUCGCAAAUGAUGCAGAGGCCGAUACCACUUUGGCUAAGAGUGUGGAGGUUUCUGUGAAUGGAGGUACUACUGAAAAGGAAGAAAACCCUGUGACCCCAGUAGUGGAUCCAACACAAUCAAUCUCAAACACAUCUACUGAUCCAGAAGAAGAGGCAGAUG